rnacentral:rRNA from 1 species
UCGAGCGGCAGCACGGGAAGCUUGCUUCCUGGUGGCGAGCGGCGGACGGGUGAGUAAUGCAUAGGAAUCUGCCCGGUAGUGGGGGAUAACCUGGGGAAACCCAGGCUAAUACCGCAUACGCCCUACGGGAGAAAGCAGGGGCUCUUCGGACCUUGCGCUAUCGGAUGAGCCUAUGUCGGAUUACCUGGUUGGUGAGGUAAUGGCUCACCAAGGCGACGAUCCGUAGCUGGUCUGAGAGGAUGAUCAGCCACAUCGGGACUGAGACACGGCCCGAACUCCUACGGGAGGCAGCAGUGGGGAAUAUUGGACAAUGGGCGCAAGCCUGAUCCAGCCAUGCCGCGUGUGUGAAGAAGGCCCUCGGGUUGUAAAGCACUUUCAGUGGGGAAGAACGCCUUCCGGCUAAUACCCGGGAGGAAAGACAUCACCCACAGAAGAAGCACCGGCUAACUCCGUGCCAGCAGCCGCGGUAAUACGGAGGGUGCGAGCGUUAAUCGGAAUUACUGGGCGUAAAGCGCGCGUAGGGGGCGUGAUAAGCCGGUUUGUGAAAGCCCCGGGCUCAACCUGGGAACGGCAUCCGGAACUGUCAGGCUAGAGUGCAGGAGAGGAAGGUAGAAUUCCCGGUGUAGCGGUGAAAUGCGUAGAGAUCGGGAGGAAUACCAGUGGCGAAGGCGGCCUUCUGGACUGACACUGACACUGAGGUGCGAAAGCGUGGGUAGCAAACAGGAUUAGAUACCCUGGUAGUCCACGCCGUAAACGAUGUCGACUAGCCGUUGGGUCCUUCGCGGACUUUGUGGCGCAGUUAACGCGAUAAGUCGACCGCCUGGGGAGUACGGCCGCAAGGUUAAAACUCAAAUGAAUUGACGGGGGCCCGCACAAGCGGUGGAGCAUGUGGUUUAAUUCGAUGCAACGCGAAGAACCUUACCUACCCUUGACAUCCUGCGAACCCUUCGGAGACGAAGGGGUGCCUUCGGGAACGCAGAGACAGGUGCUGCAUGGCUGUCGUCAGCUCGUGUUGUGAAAUGUUGGGUUAAGUCCCGUAACGAGCGCAACCCUUGUCCCUAUUUGCCAGCGAUUCGGUCGGGAACUCUAGGGAGACUGCCGGUGACAAACCGGAGGAAGGUGGGGACGACGUCAAGUCAUCAUGGCCCUUACGGGUAGGGCUACACACGUGCUACAAUGGUCAGUACAAAGGGUUGCGAACUUGCGAGAGUGAGCCAAUCCCAGAAAGCUGAUCUCAGUCCGGAUCGGAGUCUGCAACUCGACUCCGUGAAGUCGGAAUCGCUAGUAAUCGUGAAUCAGAAUGUCACGGUGAAUACGUUCCCGGGCCUUGUACACACCGCCCGUCACACCAUGGGAGUGGACUGCACCAGAAGUGGUUAGCCUAACCUUCGGGAGGGCG